UACAGAGGGGGCAAGCGUUAUUCGGAAUUACUGGGCGUAAAGGGCGCGUAGGCGGCCUUCUAAGUCGAACGUGAAAUCCCCGGGCUCAACCCGGGAACUGCGUCCGAUACUGGAAGGCUUGAAUCCGGGAGAGGGAUGCGGAAUUCCAGGUGUAGCGGUGAAAUGCGUAGAUAAUCUGGAGGAACACCGGUGGCGAAGGCGGCGA
rnacentral:rRNA from 1 species